AGUCGUAACAAGGUUUCCGUAGGUGAACCUGCGGAAGGAUCAUUACCGAGUGCGGGCCCCUCGGGGCCCAACCUCCCACCCGUGUUGCCCGAACCUAUGUUGCCUCGGCGGGCCCCGCGCCCGCCGACGGCCCCCCUGAACGCUGUCUGAAGUUGCAGUCUGAGACCUAUAACGAAAUUAGUUAAAACUUUCAACAACGGAUCUCUUGGUUCCGGCAUCGAUGAAGAACGCAGCGAAAUGCGAUAACUAAUGUGAAUUGCAGAAUUCAGUGAAUCAUCGAGUCUUUGAACGCACAUUGCGCCCUCUGGUAUUCCGGAGGGCAUGCCUGUCCGAGCGUCAUUGCUGCCCUCAAGCCCGGCUUGUGUGUUGGGCCCCGUCCCCCCCGCCGGGGGGACGGGCCCGAAAGGCAGCGGCGGCACCGCGUCCGGUCCUCGAGCGUAUGGGGCUUCGUCACCCGCUCUAGUAGGCCCGGCCGGCGCCAGCCGACCCCCAACCUUUAAUUAUCUCAGGUUGACCUCGGAUCAGGUAGGGAUACCCGCUGAACUUAAGCAUAUCAAUAAAGUCG
rnacentral:rRNA from 1 species